ACCAACAGUCAUGGAAAACGAUUAGCUAGAAACGGACACGGCUGGUCAAAACUUUUUAGUGACUAUCGAUCUGGGAAAUGGUAUAACAUCAACGCAACUGAGUGUAUGUACAGUCGACUGGUAUCAUUGCGGAUGUGCUCAUCAAGAUGACAAAAACAGACAUAAAACAGAGCAGUUUAGACGUCCAUUAUAGUUCACGAAUACUGCGCUAGUGGCGCCAAUGUGCCCGGGAAAGAUUUUCUAACUCUGGCUACAUAAGCAGGCCUCUCUGCAGACGACAACAGUAAACGACAAUAUACAAUAAAUAAUCGGUUUUCAAGAGCAGCCAAACAGUUGAGACAUGAAAAAAAAAUAAUGCUCAUGCGGAGGCGAGCAGCGAAACCAAAAUGACGAAUACAAUAGGAUCCAGAGCGUACACCGUUUUGCACCGACUCUGCCGCGAUGCUCAACAUUUCUUUGACUACAUACAAUUUAUAAACAUUUUUCUUAACUUAAAAAUAUUUUUUUAAUAUUUUAAUAUUUUUUAAUAAUGUACAAGCAAAAACACUACAAAGUUGG